rnacentral:pre_miRNA from 1 species
UGGCACAAACCCGUAGAUCCGAUCUUGUGGAAAAUCUGACGGCACAAGCUCGCCUCUGUGGGUCUCUGUCAG